rnacentral:rRNA from 1 species
UACGUAGGGGGCAAGCGUUAUCCGGAUUUACUGGGUGUAAAGGGAGCGUAGACGGUAAUGUAAGUCUGAUGUGAAAGCCCGGGGCUCAACCCCGGGACUGCAUUGGAAACUAUGUAACUAGAGUACCGGAGAGGUAAGCGGAAUUCCUAGUGUAGCGGUGAAAUGCGUAGAUAUUAGGAGGAACACCAGUGGCGAAGGCGGCUUACUGGACUGUAACUGACGUUGAGGCUCGAAAGCGUGGGGAGCAAACAGG